rnacentral:rRNA from 1 species
AGCGAACGCUGGCGGCAGGCUUAACACAUGCAAGUCGAGCGCCCGUAGCAAUACGGGAGCGGCAGACGGGUGAGUAACACGUGGGAACGUACCCUUCGGUUCGGAACAACCCAGGGAAACUUGGGCUAAUACCGGAUACGUCCGUAAGGAGAAAGAUUUAUCGCCGAAGGAUCGGCCCGCGUCUGAUUAGCUAGUUGGUGAGGUAACGGCUCACCAAGGCGACGAUCAGUAGCUGGUCUGAGAGGAUGAUCAGCCACACUGGGACUGAGACACGGCCCAGACUCCUACGGGAGGCAGCAGUGGGGAAUCUUGGACAAUGGGCGCAAGCCUGAUCCAGCCAUGCCGCGUGGGUGAUGAGGGCCCUAGGGUUGUAAAGCCCUUUCGGCGGGGAAGAUAAUGACGGUACCCGCAGAAGAAGCCCCGGCUAACUUCGUG